CAUCAUGGCAGUGGAAACUGUUGGGCUUGAGUGUGGUAGGGGCAGAGGGAAUUCCCGGUGUAGCGGUGAAAUGCGUAGAUAUCGGGAAGAACACCAGUGGCGAAGGCGCUCUGCUGGGCCAUCACUGACGCUCAUGGACGAAAGCCAGGGGAGCGAAAGGGAUUAGAUACCCCUGUAGUCCUGGCCGUAAACGAUGAACACUAGGUGUCGGGGGAAUCGACCCCCUCGGUGUCGUAGCCAACGCGUUAAGUGUUCCGCCUGGGGAGUACGCACGCAAGUGUGAAACUCAAAGGAAUUGACGGGGGCCCGCACAAGCGGUGGAGUAUGUGGUUUAAUUCGAUGCAACGCGAAGAACCUUACCAGGGUUUGACAUCCUGCGAAUCUCUUGGAAACGAGAGAGUGCCUUCGGGAACGCAGUGACAGGUGGUGCAUGGCUGUCGUCAGCUCGUGUCGUGAGAUGUUGGGUUAAGUCCCGCAACGAGCGCAACCCACGUCUUUAGUUGCCAGCAUUUAGUUGGGCACUCUAGAGAGACCGCCGGUGAUAAACCGGAGGAAGGUGUGGAUGACGUCAAGUCAUCAUGCCCCUUACAUCCUGGGCUACACACGUACUACAAUGCUACGGACAAAGGGCAGCAAGUUCGCGAGGACAAGCAAAUCCCAUAAACCGUGGCUCAGUUCAGAUCGUAGGCUGCAACUCGCCUACGUGAAGGAGGAAUCGCUAGUAAUCGCAGGUCAGCAUACUGCGGUGAAUACGUUCCCGGGCCUUGUACACACCGCCCGUCACACCAUGGAAGUUGGCCACGCCCGAAGCCGUUACUCCAACCCUCGGGAGGAGGACGUCGAAGGUGGGGCUGAUGACUGGGGUGAAGUCGUAACAAGGUAACCGUA
rnacentral:rRNA from 1 species